GACGAACGCUGGCGGCGUGCCUAAUACAUGCAAGUCGAACGAAUUUGCUUGAGGAGCUUGCUCCGAGAGCAGGUUAGUGGCGGACGGGUGAGUAACACGUAGGCAACCUGCCUGUAAGACUGGGAUAACUACCGGAAACGGUAGCUAAGACCGGAUAGACGGACAAUCGGCAUCGAUUUUUCGAGAAACACGGAGCAAUC
rnacentral:rRNA from 1 species